GUGCUUGCUUCUGCAGCACAUAUUCUAAAAACUAGAACAAUAGAGAGAUUAGCAUGGCCCCUGUGCAAGGAUGACACCACCCAAAUUUGUGAAGCGUUCCAUAUUUUU
ensembl:snRNA U6 U6 spliceosomal RNA